AUUGAACGCUGGCGGCAUGCUUUACACAUGCAAGUCGAACGGUAACAGGCCGCUAGCUGCUGACGAGUGGCGCACGGGUGAGUAAUGCAUCGGAACGUGUCCAGUCGUGGGGGAUAACUACUCGAAAGAGUAGCUAAUAUCCCACACGCUCCCUGGAUGAGAGCGGGGGACCGCAAGGCCUCGCGCGCUUUGAGCGGCCGAUGUCUGAUUAGGUAGUUGGUGGGGUAAAGGCUCACCAAGCCAACGAUCUGUAGCUGGUCUGAGAGGACAACCAGCCACACUGGAACUGAGACACGGCCCAGACUCCUACGGGAGGCAGCAGUGGGGAAUUUUGGACAAUGGGCGCAAGCCUGAUCCAGCAAUGCCGCGUGCAGGAAGAAGGCCUUCGGGUUGUAAACUGCUUUUGUACGGAACGAAACGGCUCUGGUUAAUACCCGGGGCUAAUGACGGUACCGAAAGAAUAAGCACCGGCUAACUACGUG
rnacentral:rRNA from 1 species